UCCGGUUUGACACCGGCAGUCCCCUUAGAGUCCCCGGCAUAACCCGCUGGUAACUAAGGGUAAAGGUUUCGCUCGUUAAGGGACUUAACCCGACAUCUCACGACACGAGCUGACGACAGCCAUGCAGCACCUGUACUUGUUGUACCCCGAAGGGCCUACCCGGCUUUCACCGGGAUAAUCCAAGCAUGUCAAGCCCAGGUAAGGUUCUGCGCGUUGCUUCGAAUUGAACCACAUGCUCCACCGCUUGUGUGAGCCCCCGUCAAUUUCUUUGAGUUUUAGCCUUGCGACCGUACUUCCCAGGCGGUCGACUUAGCACUUUGGCUUCGACCGUAACACCGUCAGAGGCACUACGAUCUAGUCGACAUCGUUUACGGCCAGGACUAC
rnacentral:misc_RNA from 1 species